AGAAAUUAGAAAACCGAGAAGGAUAAGAGGAGAAAAUAUAACAGGCUUGAGAGGAAAUGGCCAACUUAUACUAGGAAAUAAAAGGGGAAUGAACUGUUUAGUAUUUGCUAAAACAUUAAAGUCUUGACUGGGCAGAGUGAGCAACCAUGGAGCAUUCCCACAAUCGUCAGGGUCAGCAAAGCAAGAGGAACUUUGAUGGAAGUGGAAGACUAUCAGCAGCCACAAUAGCCACAAUAGAGACUCUGAAAUGCAGGAGGCGAGGAAGGGCAAUAAGGGAAGGCACCAAGUGUGUGCUGCUGGACAAUACUUUCCCUGGCUAUAGCUGGCUGUUGCCUGGAUGGGUCGCCGAGGAGCGACACAUGGAAUCCGGAAGGAUCUAUAGAUACUAUUAUGAUCCAGAAGGACGUAUGUACCACAGCCAAAAUGAGGUCACUCAUGCAUGGGAACAAUCUGGCUUGGUGCUUCUCGAUAAGUCUUAAAAAUGAAGGUUAAAGCCUAUAACCAGGAAGAGAACUGGGUCUGAGGAAGAGAACAAGAGAAAAAUUAUCAGUUGGGUUUGGGUGUUUUCUUUUCUGACAUAGCUCUUUGAGAGAAUCUACAUGUAAUAAAUAAAAUAAGGACAGACUCUUUCUAGAUUUAAUGGAAUGCAUUUGAACAA